UACAGAGGGUGCGAGCGUUAAUCGGAAUUACUGGGCGUAAAGCGCGCGUAGGCGGCUUUGCAAGUCAGGUGUGAAAUCCCCGGGCUUAACCUGGGAACUGCAUCUGAGACUGCAUCGCUAGAGUAUGGGAGAGGGAAGUGGAAUUUCAGGUGUAGCGGUGAAAUGCGUAGAUAUCUGAAGGAACAUCAGUGGCGAAAGCGACUUCCUGGACCAAUACUGACGCUCAUGUGCGAAAGCGUGGGGAGCAAACAGG
rnacentral:rRNA from 1 species